rnacentral:misc_RNA from 1 species
AACGCAUAUUGCGCCCCUUGGUAUUCCGAGGGGCAUGCCUGUCCGAGCGUCAUUACACCCCUCGAACCCCCGGGUUUGACGUUGGGCGCCGCCCCGCCGGGCGCGCCUGAAAGGCAGCGAUGGUGAACCGUGUACCUCCGAGCGCACAGAUGUCGCUACGCGAGGGCGCGGGGAUCAGGCUUCGAGACGGCUUGCCGUCCUGAACGUUGACCUCGGAUCAGGUAGGGAUACCCGCUGAACUUAA